rnacentral:rRNA from 1 species
AACGUAGGACACAAGCGUUAUCCGGAUUUACUGGGCGUAAAGGGCGUGUAGGCGGAUCGGUAAGUCUACUCUGAAAGCUCCUGGCUAAACUGGGAGAGGCGAGUGGAGACUGCCGGUCUAGAGUGAGGAAGAGGAAAGUGGAAUUCCGCGUGUAGUGGUGAAAUGCGUAGAGAUGCGGAGGAACACCAGUGGCGAAAGCGGCUUUCUGGUCCUUAACUGACGCUGAGGCGCGAAAGCUAGGGGAGCAAACAGG